AGAUACAUCUCCAUGUUUUUCACAAACUGUAACUGAAAAAGUUGUUCAUCAGCUCAAAUUACAACCCUAUUGUCAAAGAACACAGUAACAGGAAAGUAUCCUUCAACUCAGAUGACGAAUUCAGAUGCCACAAAGAGCAUCCAUUGCUAACUCCAGAAUAUUUACCCGAAGUAUUGGGAGAAGAAAAAACCACAUGAAGUAUACCAGGACUGAUUCAUGUUUAAUAAUCCAAACUCAGCAUGCACAAUAUACUUCCAAUACAGGCAAGAGGUUGUGUUAAUCAUCAAAGUCACAAUUUAACUCCAAUAGUUAGUUUCUCUGUCACCAAGUAAGUCAAACUCAAAUAGAACAUCCAUUGUUCCUUCAGGAGGCCACUACCAAAGGAUGUCUCAAACCAGACUAGAGUUUAUCAGCCAUAAACCUCAAUAACAUGGCAUUAAAAUCAAAUCACAAAACUU